UUCAAAAUCGUUUGUCUUUGAUUUAGGGUUUCUGAAAGGUUUUUCAAAAACAUCUUUCUAGUUCUUUUUGUUCUUUCAUUAUUUGUGUUUGUCUAUGUUAUGCUCGUAUGACUUCUUUUACUACGCAUGUACUGUCCUCCUACUUUUUUUACUAUACAUAUUACUCAUGUGCUCACAUGUUAAUCCUUCUUAUGUUUUCCUUACUCUUCUACUAUAUGUGUUUAUUGUUGAGUUCUUUGAUUUUAGUUAGCUUUACUAGACUCUGUUCGUAUUCUUGCUAAAUAUGUUUCAUCUACUUUUGAUUAAGUUUGUAUCACCUCUUUCUUCUGAACUUGUUUAAGUUUUGAGUUUUCUCAAACAUGUUCUCCAUGAUAUUGAAUCGGUUUUCUUUCUUUUUUUCAUAUCUGUUUGUUUCUCAUAAGGCUCUGAAACAGACCUUGGAGUCUGUUUCAAUGGUUUGCUUUCACAUCUUUAUGUUUGAUUCGGUUUUGAAACCCUAGGAUUUGGGGGUUUCUUUGGCAAUUUCGAUUUUGUGUUCGAGUUAGGGUUCCACUUUGGGACCCUGGACUCUCAGACGCACUAUGAGUCUACAAAUUGAACUUGUAUCCCUUUGCUUAUGAGUCUUAACCUUUCAAUGUUAGACUAUUUUUUAAGUAACCUGACGACUCUUUUUGUUUGAUUUGUUUGUUUUAUAUAUGAG
rnacentral:lncRNA from 1 species